rnacentral:rRNA from 1 species
AACGAACGCUGGCGGCAGGCCUAACACAUGCAAGUCGGACGAGGUUUUCGGACCUAGUGGCGGGCGGGUGAGUAACGCGUGGGAACGUGCCCUUUGGUUCGGAAUAGCCCCGGGAAACUGGGAGUAAUACCGGAUAAGCCCUACGGGGGAAAGAUUUAUCGCCAAAGGAUCGGCCCGCGUUGGAUUAGGUAGUUGGUGGGGUAAUGGCCUACCAAGCCGACGAUCCAUAGCUGGUUUGAGAGGAUGAUCAGCCACACUGGGACUGAGACACGGCCCAGACUCCUACGGGAGGCAGCAGUGGGGAAUCUUAGACAAUGGGGGAAACCCUGAUCUAGCCAUGCCGCGUGAUCGAUGAAGGCCUUAGGGUUGUAAAGAUCUUUCAGUGGGGAAGAUAAUGACUGUACCCACAGAAGAAGCCCCGGCUAACUCCGUGCCAGCAGCCGCAGUAAAAC